AUUGAACGCUGGCGGCAGGCCUAACACAUGCAAGUCGAGCGGGAGAAGACUUCGGUCUUCGAGAGCGGCGGACGGGUGAGUAACGCGUGGGAAUCUGGCUCUUAGAGGGGGACAACUUGUGGAAACGCAAGCUAAUACCGCAUACGCCCUAAGGGGGAAAGCAGGGGAUCUUCGGACCUUGCGCUAAGAGAUGAGCCCGCGUCGGAUUAGCUAGUUGGUGGGGUAAAGGCCUACCAAGGCGACGAUCCGUAACUGGUCUGAGAGGAUGAUCAGUCACACUGGAACUUAGACAAGGUCCAGAAUCCUACGGGAGGCAGCAGUGGGGAAUAUUGGACAAUGGGGGCAACCCUGAUCCAGCCAUGCCGCGUGUGUGAAGAAGGCCUUCGGGUUGUAAAGCACUUUAAGUUGGGAGGAAAGGGUUGUGGCUAAUAUCCAUAAUCUAUGACGGUACUCAACAAGGAAGUGACGGCUAACUACGUGCCAGCAGCCGCGGUAA
rnacentral:rRNA from 1 species